rnacentral:rRNA from 1 species
GUCCACGCCGUAAACGAUGUCAACUAACUGUUGGGUUCUUAAAGAACUUAGUAGUGGAGCUAACGUAUUAAGUUGACCGCCUGGGGAGUACGGCCGCAAGGCUAAAACUCAAAUGAAUUGACGGGGGCCCGCACAAGCGGUGGAGCAUGUGGUUUAAUUCGAUGCAACGCGAAGAACCUUACCUACCCUUGACAUCCAGAGAAUCUGUUAGAGAUAGCGGAGUGCCUUCGGGAACUCUGAGACAGGUGCUGCAUGGCUGUCGU